AUUUCUAAAUUUGAGUGCUAAUUUAAUCUUAAAAGCUGUUAAAAACGAUUUCUUUAGGUAUCGGCAUGAAUAUUACACAAAAGAAAUUAUCAAAUUAAAGAUUGCUUAAAGUUGCUUCUUAAGCAUUUGCAUACUAUGUGGUGCGAUGAUGAUGUACAGGCAAAUUUAAGGAUUUAAUAGCAGAAUGGAAAUUUAAAGAACUUUUGUACUUUUGCAUUUUUGUAUAUCCCAAGUAAAUGUAUAAUAUUUUCUGUAUCCGAAAUAAAAAUGUUUACAUGUUUAAAUAUCCUAAUGGUAUUUAUCGCUAAAUGCGGAAACAAGCAACUUGUAAGAACAUUUGGUUCUGCAACCAUAAGCAAUAAGGAACAUCCAAAGACUUUGAGAUACAAGUUCCAGGAUGAAGCAACAUAAACACAAUGUUCCUUAGUGUUGCUUUCGGUGUGGCUUAGCUUUAUGUAACUAAUGUCAUCAUAUUUAAAUAUUAUAUAUUUUUCGAAAGAGAACAACUUCAGCUUUAAUAUGAGCCAUAAAUUAGUUAUUUUUGAUAAGGUUCUUCAUGAGGUUCUCAAAGGUCGGAUAACUUAUUUAUGGACAUAAAUAAUCAUUAAUAUUCAAUAUCUGUUGA